rnacentral:rRNA from 1 species
CAGCCGCCGCGGGAAUACAGAGGGUGCGAGCGUUAAUCGGAUUUACUGGGCGUAAAGCGUGCGUAGGCGGCUUUUUAAGUCGGAUGUGAAAUCCCUGAGCUUAACUUAGGAAUUGCAUUCGAUACUGGGAAGCUAGAGUAUGGGAGAGGAUGGUAGAAUUCCAGGUGUAGCGGUGAAAUGCGUAGAGAUCUGGAGGAAUACCGAUGGCGAAGGCAGCCAUCUGGCCUAAUACUGACGCUGAGGUACGAAAGCAUGGGGAGCAAACAGGAUUAGAUACCCGGGUAGUCCCUGUCUCUUAUAC